rnacentral:rRNA from 1 species
GUGUCAGCAGCCGCGGUAAUACAGAGGGUGCAAGCGUUAAUCGGAAUUACUGGGCGUAAAGCGCGCGUAGGCGGUUUGUUAAGUCGGAUGUGAAAUCCCCGGGCUCAACCUGGGCACGGCAUCCGAUACUGGCUGACUAGAGUGUGGGAGAGGAAGGUAGAAUUCCAGGUGUAGCGGUGAAAUGCGUAGAGAUCUGGAGGAAUACCGAUGGCGAAGGCAGCCUUCUGGCCUAACACUGACGCUGAGGUGCGAAAGCAUGGGGAGCAAACAGGAUUAGAUACCCCUGUAGUCC